rnacentral:lncRNA from 1 species
UCUCAAGACACAUAUUCCAAUACAACACUCCUUCAUUUUUUAAAUUUUUAUUAACAUAUAAAAUUAUUUCUUCCAAACUUUAUUAAUGCUAUUUAUAAAAUUAUUUAUUACACUAUCUUAAUUUACAAUAAAAUCCACAUCGUAUCACAACAUCUGUUAACCCAAUAUUGACACACAAUUCUAUCACAUAUUCCCACACUCACUAUUAUCAUCUCAUACUCUAUUUUUCUCUCAGAAUUUACGCAUAUACGAAAAACCCAGAUACUUAUCUCCAUCCUUCAUUUAUAAUAAUUUAUAAAAUAUUAACAUUGACAUAGAAAAACAGAGAUUUUCAAAGUUAGAUUUUCCUCAGACUUAAAUGACAGUGGUUAGAAUCUAGGACGGGUUGCUGGCAGAUCUGAAAGAGAUAUGGUCGGAUUUGCAGGGUUGAAGUUGGUAAGCUGUUUUUCGAUGAGAUGGUACGGUUGAGGAUCAUAGGAGUUGUUAAUUUGGGAUGCUGGCCGUCUGGUAAUCAGAUCCGGAGGCAGCAUCGAAAAGAGAGAAGGGCGUCAUCACGGCGCCGUGGUGUGGCUGACGAUCAGCGACGGCAGAUCUGGGGAGAGGAGUGACGACGUAGGUGAGGGGAGGGGGGAUAGAGCCGGCGCAGGGCUGGCUGAUACGCCCAAAAAGGGGAAGGGGAAAGGCGGCGGCAAUGGCUGGUUUCCGGCGAUAAGUCGCCGAAAGAAAAAAAAAUUCUAAUCUGCUUUUUCUUUCUCCUUUUUUUUUUACUAAUUUUUCCAUGUUUGUUGUACUUUGCAUGUUAUGUAAUGUGUACAAACUAAUGAGUUACAUAUACGUGUACAGUGUGUGUAAAAGACGGAUUCGGUGAAUACAUGUAUGUGCUGUGAAUAUUAUCAUCUGUAUGAAUAAUAUUCUAUACUGUAUUUGUCAUAUAUGGAUGAAAAGUGAGACAUAAUAUUAAAAUUUUUUACUAUUUACAAUAUACAUAAAAUACAGAAAUGACAAUAAAUUCAUACAAUGUUAAUUCAUGAAAUCACCAAACAAUCAUGUUAUGAUUCAGUUUAUAACAAAAAAGUUACAAAAUAAAAUACAGGAUUACCGAAGAAACCUGCGAUAAAAAUAAAGCAAAAAUCUUGAAUAUAGUUUCAGAAACUCAAUCGUUAUCCAACUUCAACUUCACCCUUUUUGUUUGAUAUUCUUUUCUCUUUUCUCUGGUUUUCUCUCAGUUUCUAUGGUAUCUAAUGCAGUGUAUAAUACAGUGUAAAAUGUAUGUACUUUGUCUUAGGGGGGUGGGAGUCCUUUAAGUAGAGAAAAUUUGGGGGGAACAGUUACUUUUUUGGGGGGAGGGGGAGGGGGGAGUUAAAACUAUUAGAUAAGGAAGGAGAAAAAUUCAAAUUUUGAAAUAAAAUUCUCUUUUUUUUAAUAAUAAUAAUAAAUAAAGAUAAAUAAUAAUAAUAGAUAUGAAUAUAACUAAUUAAUUUAUUUAUUUAAGAAAAUAUAAUAAAAAUUAUAAAUAACCUUAAAUAAAUAUAAUUAAGACAAUAUUAAAAUUACUUAUUUUAUUUAAAAUUUAACAGGAAAUAUAUAUAUAAAUAUGUAUAUUUUUUUAAUUUUUGCAUUAUUUUUAGAAUUAAAGUAAAAUAAAAUAUCUCAAUUAUAACUUUAUUUAUUUAUUUAUUUUUAACUAAAAAUUUAUUUAAAAUGAAAUAAGAAUUAAAAUAAUAUCAAAGCAAAUAAAAUAUUUAAUGUCGAUAAAUAGGUUAAAACUCGGGGAGGGUCAAAAAUCACGUAUCUACAUUUUGUCCCUCUUUGUGUGAAAUCUCAAAGAGUUUUCAUACGAAGUAGACAAAGAGGUGAUUUUUGAUCCUCCAAUUAUUCAAAAAGUAAAGAUAAAAUAAAAUAAAAUAAAAAAUAUGACUGAGUCCUAAUUUUGGAUCGCCUACAUAUCCCGGGUUAUAAGGAAAUCAGGUCACUUGUAGUUCAAAUGAGGUAAAAUGAUGUGGCAGUGAGCUAGGAUCGAGUCAGGUUCCAUCGAAUUUUCGGUUCACGACAUUCUGCUACAUUGAAAUGAAUAACAAAAAUUAAAAUGAAGAUACAAGUGAGAAAUCCUAUCUAUGCUAUUUUUUUUUUUUUGGAAUUUUGACUUGAAUCUUCAUGACUUCUCAAAUGGUGAGAUAGUCAUUAUUUGAGUUGAACUUGAUACACAAAAUGUUCCUCCUCGUCGGCUUUUGGCAUUAGAGUGGAACUUGCCAAUUGUUUUUUACUUCAGAUUUUCUUCUGGCUUGGACUUGAAAAUUUUCACCCUAUCCUUCAGGAGGGCUCCUGAAUUUGCAACUGAUAAUGUUAACCCUAUUCUUCAGGUGGGCUCCUGACUUGCUACUUCUUCACCCGGUUCUCCAGGGCUCCUGACUUGUUACUUCUUCACCCUGUUCUUCAGGCGGGCUCCUGAUUUGUUGUUUCUUCAACCUGUUCUUCAGGCGGGCUCCUGGACUUACAAUUUCUUUAUCCUGUUCUUCAGGCGGGCUCUUGGACUUUUUUUUUCCUUCACCCUAUUCUUCAGGCGUGCUCCUGGACUUUCUCUUUCUUCACCCUGCUCUUUAGGCGGGCUCCGGGACUUCUUUUUUUUUUCAAAUAUAUUCCUGAACUUAAAAUAAAAGGUGACACAGAAAAAUAACAUCCCAUUCUUUCGGAGGGUCCUGGACACAAAGUAAAUUUUAAUUCUUCAGGAGGGUCCUGAGCAAAAAGUAAAUUCCUAUUCUUUAGGAGGGUCUUGUGCAAAAAUAAAUUCCCAUUCUUCAGGAGGGUCCCGAGCAAAAAGUAGAUUCCCAUUCUUCAGGAGAGUCCCGAGCAAAAAGUAAAUUCUCAUUCUUCAGGAGGGUCCUGUCCCAUUCUUCAGGAGGGUCCUGAGCACAAAAUAAGUUCCCAUUCUUCAGGAGUGUCCUGUCCCAUUCUUCAGGAGGUUCCUGAGCACAAAAUAGAUACCCAUUCUUCAGGAGGGUCCUGUCCCAUUCUUCAGGAGGGUCCUGAGAACAAAAUAAAUUCUCAUUCUUUAGGAGGGUCCUGUCCCAUUCUUCAGGAGGGUCCCGAGCAAAAAGUAAAUUCCCAUUCUUCAGAAGGGUCCUUUCCCAUUCUUCAGGAGGGUCCAGAGCAUAAAAUAAAUUUCCAUUGUUCAGGAGGGUCUUGAGCACAAAAUAAAUUUCCAUUCUUCAGGAGGGUCCUGUCCCAUUCUUCAGAAGGGUCCUGAGAACAAAAUAAAUUCUCAUUCUUCAGAAGAGUCCUGUCCCAUUCUUCAGGAGGGUCCCGAGCAAAAAGUAAAUUCCCAUUCUUCAAGAGGGUCCUGUCCCAUUCUUCAGGAGGGUCCAGAGCAUAAAAUAAAUUUUCAUUGUUCAGGAGGGUCCUGUCCCAUUCUUCAAGAGGGUCCUGUCCCAUUCUUCAAUAGGGUCCUGAGCAUAAAAUAAAUUCCGAUUAUUUAGGAGGGUCCUGUCCCAUUGUUCAGAAGGGUCCUGUGUAUAAAAUAAAUUACAGUAAAUACGAACAAAAUUUUUCCCCAGUUUGCAUUAGUAAAUUUUACGAGUGUUAUCAGAUCACAACUUUUGAAAAGUAUAAUAAAGAGAGUGAAUCAAAGAUCUGCUAAAGAAAUGGGUCUCAUCAGAGUAAAACUGAUGACCAAAAUUAGGAAGUGUGUCUCAUAAGAGUUAAAUUGAAGGACUCGACUAGAAAGUGCGUCUUUUAAGAGUUAAUGUUCAAGUUAGGAAGUGCUUCACCUAAAAAAUGAAAACUGACUUAUUCAGACUAGGAAGUGCGUCGGGUUAAAUGAAAUGGCUCGACUAGAAAGUGCGUCUUCUAGGAGUAAAGGUUCAAGUUAGGAAGUGUUUCACCUAACAAAUGAAAAGUGACUUAUUCAGACUAGGAAGUGCGUCUCCUAGAGGUUGAAUGAAAUGACUCGACUAGAAAGUGCGUCUUCUAGGAGUAAAGGUUCAAGUUAGGAAGUGCUUCACCUAAUAAAUAAAAACUGACUUAUUCAGACUAGUAAGUGCGUCUCCUAGAGGUUGAAUGAAAUGACUCGACUAGAAAGUGCGUCUUCUAGGAAUGAAUAUUCAAGUUAGAAAGUAAAUAACCUAACAAAUGAAUCUUGAAUUAUCCAGACUAGGAAGUGCGUCUUCUAGGGGUUAAAAUGAUGAGUUUUUACCAUUAUUGAUUACCAAAUCUGUGUAACAAUACUGCCUCUUGCAUUUGUAGAAGUGAGAAAUUACAGCUUUUCAUAGUUAAGCUUUGAAACCUUUGAUACGAAGGUAACACGUGUUUUGUUUCAUAUAAAUAAAACUUUUUAAUUUAAAAAUACGGUGGUUGAUUUGUGGCAUUUGGCUAUUGAGACGAUCUCUUGCACUUGUUAUGCCCAGUUCCAUUGCAAAUCAUUGAUAGGUAUUGUUGACUUCUUGUAGUAUUGACCCCAAAUUCUGAAUACUAAAAUAUUUUGACUCAAAUCAUAUUUCUCUUGCAUGAUUCCUCGGGAUUCAGCUUCAAAUACACCUUUUAUACUUUUAUGAGUCCAAAAACUGUCGGAUGACAAGCAUUCUUGAGUACUUUACUUUAUUUUUGAAACAUGUUAUCUUUGUGUGUUGGUCUUUUGUCUUGCUUUGCACAGCUAAAGGAGUUGGUAGCAAGUUUUGAAGUCCUUUCUCACUUAUCUUGACAAAAUUUUGAUUCAAAAAUACAUGAAAGAUGACGAUAAUGAUUUUAUUUUGACCACAAAUACACAAAAAUAAAAAAUCAAAAUAAAAAUAAAAAAACAAAAAGAAUAGGAAAGGACAAUAGACAUCUCUUCUUUAAAAAAAAAAUGUCAACAAGAAAAUUUUAUCUGGGUGUGGCAGCUGAUUCUAGUGAUUAUGACAUGCAUUUUGAAUUAAACAACCUGAUCUAUCCAAACUAAUCACUAUCACUUUUUGCCCACUCAAUGAAUUUGAAAGGAAGCCAUUCUUGAACUUGUUCCCUCUGGAUUAUAAUCCUCCUUAGGCUAGUGACACCUCGAUGGGUUAUUGCCAACAAGCUGCUCCCAUUUUCUUUUCUUUUUCAACUCAUUGUUGUCUUAUGGUACCCAUGAAGACUUUUACCAAUAAGACUCUCAUUUUUAUUGAUCUCGCAACUCACGGUCGCCUUAUGAUGCCCAAAAGGGUUUUUACCAAUAAGACUCUCUCAUUUUCAUUUUUUUUUUUUAGAAAAUAACACUCAAAAUAUGAAAUAUCAUGCACCCAUAACAUUUUUAGCUUUGACAUUCUCAAAGAUUGAUUUGAAGGUCUUUCUUUGGUUGUAACUUGAAUUUUGAAAUAGGAUAGAAAAAAAGGUCGGCAUGGGGCUCAAAAUUUACACAACAUUGGGUAAAAUAUACAACUUUUGAAAUCGACUCUUUUAAGGAAAUAAACUUUUGCCCUAGUGUUAUUUCAUUCUGAGUAACCUGAAUUUUCUUUUGGUUAGACCGAAUUCCAGAGUAGGGCUGCCUACGUAUCUUGUCAUAGCAAUAAUCAAGUCAAGCGUAGUUCAGGACAUUUCUUUUGCUUGAAUUUGGAUUUUUGAUUGAUUUUUUCUCUUGUUUUUUACUCUAUUUUUCUUGAUACUUUUUUUUUGACCUUUUCAAAUUCUAUUUUGAUUCCAAAAGAGGGGUACGAAAGAAAAUAACACUAAAGCUCAAAAGGGGUAACAAAGGAUGACACAACAUUUUGGUAGUAGAAUGAAAUGGUCAUAUCAAUCCUUAAAAACACAAGUACUUAACAUGUAAUCUGAGAGAGAACAUAAAGAUUAUAUAUAUAUUUUUUUCAAUUAACCUUGACUGAAUACGUAUGUCACUACUUCUCAUGCACUUGUCAAAAAGAAAGGUCCAAUUAUAUUCACAUUCCUCUCAUUAAAGGACUCAUGCAUUUUUAAGCUAACUUCUUUUUGCUUCUCCUGACAAUGGAAACUAUAUAUCUUCUGAUCGCUCUCAUUUAAAGUGUUUGAGAUUGACCUUCUCAUUGAUGACCAAGUCAUUUUUUAUUCACAAAGUGAUUGUUUCAAUCCAUUCAAGUGAGGCUUUAACUCAAUCAACAAACAUCUCAACAUUUUACUUAUUUUCUUACAUGAUUUUUCCUUUCAACUCUAUCUUCCUGGUCAAGUGUUUCAGGAUUAGAUUAAGUUUUAAGAUUUGGUGAAAAUUCAUAAUGCAUAUCGUAUCAUUAAAAUCACCAUAAAAGAAUUGUAUGAAGAAAAAAAAAGACAAAUAAACAAUAUUUAUUAAAAAAAUGAAAAUAGAAAUAAAGGGACUCACAUUUUGUUGACAGAAAGAUAAAAGGGUUUGAACAAAGACGAUAAGAAAUAAGACAAGAUAAAUCCCGAACUAAAACCCUAAAAUAAUUCGAAUAGCAAAAAGAAAAAUAAAAUAGACUACCAAAAAUCCCUCAUUGUGAGAAGUUAAGAGUGACUUCUAAAUUGCCGAACUUAAUAUUUUAGCCACUGAUUUGCACGUUAGCCUUAAUGGAGUCUCCACCCUCAUUGCGACAUCAUUUUUUUUUUCCAGCCAUUUUGAAGUUAUCACCAUUAAAGUCUCUCCAAAAUAAAUCAUCAGCAGUUUCUCUUUUCCCUUACUCCUCAUAUUGAUUUCAAAAUCUUUUUAAAUGAGUCAAAGGAUGACCAUGACCCUCGUACAUGUCCAACUUUGGUGUUUUGGAGGUUAGAGCCAAGUGAACAUUGAAACAUGUAAGAACCCUUGUGAGAAUUCUCUUUCUCUCUCAGUAUUUGCAUGUUUCUCAUAUUUUACUCUAAAUUUCUCACUUUUCAAGCCAUUUCUUCUUACUCCUCAUUUCUAACAAUUUACACCACCUCAUAUUAGAUGCUAUACCAUAUUUGUGUGUCAUCUUGCCUGUUCUAUGAACCUGGUGUUGUAUUGGUGAGAUGCCAAUUUAGCCACAAGCCAACCACUAAAUAUUAUUUUAAUUUUGAAGAAAAAUAAUGUGUCAGAGUUUUUUUUUUUUUAAGAUUACCGAAUUCAUGAAGGACUGCCUACAUAUCUCAUUAAGAUGAGAAUCAAGUGUGCGUAGUUCGUGAAAAUCGUAAAACUAUGUUACUAAAAUUUUCCUUUCCUUUAAAAAGAAAAUUUUUCUUUCAAAAAUGAUUCACUAAAUGUGACGAUAAUUUAAUCUCUUACAUUUUAAAAGUUGCCUAAAGUUGAUCAACAAAUAAACAAUCUUCCAAACGAAUGUCAAAGAGCAUGUAGGAUGCACAUGUUGGUGUUUAUAAAGUAGGUCACCUGUCCUAGAUUGAUCCGGCCCCUGUGCCGAGUCCCACUAAGUCAAAUGCAUAUGAUGCAAAUAAAGGGCACCUAAUAGGGAUAACUAGAUUCUGAGUUUUCAGUUCUUCUAAGUUUAAGCCUAAUAGGGAUAGGUGUCUAGACUGGCUUACCCAAGCGGACACUCGAGCCGGGGAGGGAUAACUUGGUUGGUAGCAGCGCAACACCGCCUUUGUUGUCGAUCCAAACCCCGCCUAACAUGUGUGACUAUAAUCCUUCUCCAGGUGCCUUGACACUCCGGCUAUCUCAAAAUAAAGUUUGGAUGCAUAUGCUGCAUUUCUUCUAUCCUAUUUUAGAGACUCAGAAGGGGUGCGCAAGAGAAGACAGUUUAUAAAUACAGUUCAACAAUAUCAAACCAGUAAAUGAGCAACAAGUAGCACAUAAAGCCAAUAAAUACAAUAUCGAUAAUAAUUAAAGCAAGUAUAAGUCAACAUCAAAAAGCUCGAAUUGCCAGAGAUGUCACACCCCUUUUCCGCUCGGAGGAUUUGAGUCGAAGGGUUUUUCCAAUUAAAGUGACUGUUUUGAAUAUGGAUUAUUUUUAUUUUAUAGAGUCGCCACUUAGAAUUGAUUUAUGGUGUUCUAAGUCACCUUUUUGAAUCCCUAGUCAAAAGAAAAUGACUCUUUAUUAUGGUCUGUGUAAACAGAAGACCGAGUAAGGAAUUCUGUUGAUCGAGGGGAAGGUGUGAGGCACCCCACGAGUCCCAUGGUUAUAGCACAGUCGCUUUUAUUGACUUAUCCUGACUUAAACUAUUUUGAUAAAUUAUGUUAAGGCCUAAAAUAGCUCAUUUUUUAAUUAUACUGAAAAUAGCUAUCUUCUCUUAUAUUAAAUAAAUUGGUGACAAUUUUUUUUUAAAAAAAUUACUUAUCAAGGUGUAUUAUUACAUCCUUGAAUUUUUUUUUAAAAUAUCUCGAAAAGAUGCGUAUGCCACAUGCUUAAUUGAGACAAAAAUUAAUUAUUAUAUUCGCCUAACGCUUGCAAAUUUGCUUACCUAAAAUGCUACUUAAUACUAUCAUUAAACUUUAACAAAAUUUAUUUAAAGCAAUUAAUUAAUUUAAUAAAAAAAAUUUAUCAAAAUAAUAUACUUAUCGAAAUUUAUUGAUGAUAUUAAUUAAAAUCAUAUAGAACUAUAUAUCUUGUAAAUACAUAUCACUAUAUGUAUGCACAUUACCGAAUAAAACAAUUUUGGCUCAAAAUUUUCUUCUCAAGACACAUAUUCCAAUAUAACACUCCUUCAUUUUUUAUAUUUUUAUUAACAUAUAAAAUUAUUUCUUCCAAACUUUAUUAAUGCUAUUUAUAAACUUAUUUAUUACACUAUCUUAAUUUACAAUAAAAUCCACAUCGUAUCACAACAUCUGUUAACCCAAUAUUGACACACAAUUCUAUCACGUAUUUCCACACUCACUAUUAUCAUCUCAUACUCUAUUUUUCUCUCAGAAUGUACGCAUAUACGAAAAACUCAGAUACUUAUCUUUAUCCUCCAUUUAUGAUAAUUUAUAAAAUAUUAACAUUGGCAUAAAAAAACAGAGAUUUUCAAAGUUAGAUUUUCGCUUUGACUUAAAUGACAGUGGUUAGAAUCUAGGAUGGGUUGCUGGCAGAUUUAAAAGAGAUAUAGCCGGAUUCGCGGGGUUGAAGCUGGUAAGCCAUUUUCCGGCGGGAUGGUACGGUUGAGGAUCAUCGGAGUUAUUAAUUUGGGAUGCUGGCCGUCUGAUAAUCAGAUCCGGAGGCAGUAUCGAAAAGAGAGAAGGGCGUCGUCACGACGUCGUGGUUUGGCUGACGAUCAUCGGCGACAGAUCUGGGGAGGGGAGUGACGGCAUAGGUGAGGAGAGGGGGGAUAGCGCCGGCGCAAAGCUGGCUGAUAUCGCCCAAAAAGGGGAGGGAAAAGGCGACGACAAUGGCUGGUUUUCGGCGAUAAGUCGCCGAAAGAAAAUAAAAUUCCAAUAUGCUUUUUCUUUCUCCUUUUUUUUUUGCUAAUUUUUCCAUGUUUGUUGUACUGUGC